GUUUCAAACACAAGCAUUUUCUUAUCUGGGGAUAAAACAGAAUGCUGAUAUUCUGUCAUGGCUGUGUCUGGGGGACACAUGGGACUAUUGCAUAGAGAUCUGAAUGUUAUCUCCCUCACUUGACCAUCAUAUUCAUCUGCACCAUGCCACUGUCCUAUAAUAAGAUUUGUAUCCUUUCUAGUUGAACGAUACUCAUUUGUAAACUUAGAGUCAUCAUUUAACAAUAUAAUAAAGAACUGCUCAGCUGUACAAGGAAAUACACCAUUAUAUAUACCGACAAGAACCUCUUCUUUGAUGAAUGCUUGAUGGUUUUCAACUUUGGGUACAGUAUCUUCAGGAAUCUUGAUACUACCUCUAACAGAGCUACUAUGAGCACGCAGUGCUGAUUCUGCUCUCUCCUUCUUUUCAGCUUCUAACAUAGCAUGGUAGUUCUUUGCUGCACGUUGCAGUGCUCUUAAUGCAUGAUUCCUGUUCCAAAAGGAUGCAAAUUUAUACCUGACUCUACCUGCA
rnacentral:misc_RNA from 1 species